rnacentral:rRNA from 1 species
UACAGAGGGGGCAAGCGUUGUUCGGAAUUACUGGGCGUAAAGGGCUCGUAGGUGGCCAACUAAGUCAGACGUGAAAUCCCUCAGCUUAACUGGGGAACUGCGUCUGAUACUGGAUGGCUUGAGAUUGGGAGAGGGAUGCGGAAUUCCAGGUGUAGCGGUGAAAUGCGUAGAUAUCUGGAGGAACACCGGUGGCGAAGGCGGCAUCCUGGACCAACACUGACACUGAGGAGCGAAAGCCAGGGGAGCAAACGGG